rnacentral:rRNA from 1 species
AGAGUUUGAUCAUGGCUCAGAUUGAACGCUGGCGGCAGGCCUAACACAUGCAAGUCGAGCGGUAGCACAGAGAGCUUGCUCUCGGGUGACGAGCGGCGGACGGGUGAGUAAUGUCUGGGAAACUGCCUGAUGGAGGGGGAUAACUACUGGAAACGGUAGCUAAUACCGCAUAACGUCGCAAGACCAAAGUGGGGGACCUUCGGGCCUCAUGCCAUCAGAUGUGCCCAGAUGGGAUUAGCUAGUAGGUGGGGUAACGGCUCACCUAGGCGACGAUCCCUAGCUGGUCUGAGAGGAUGACCAGCCACACUGGAACUGAGACACGGUCCAGACUCCUACGGGAGGCAGCAGUGGGGAAUAUUGCACAAUGGGCGCAAGCCUGAUGCAGCCAUGCCGCGUGUGUGAAGAAGGCCUUCGGGUUGUAAAGCACUUUCAGUGGGGAGGAAGGCGUUAAGGUUAAUAACCUUGGCGAUUGACGUUACCCGCAGAAGAAGCACCGGCUAACUCCGUGCCAGCAGCCGCGGUAAUACGGAGGGUGCAAGCGUUAAUCGGAAUUACUGGGCGUAAAGCGCACGCAGGCGGUCUGUCAAGUCGGAUGUGAAAUCCCCGGGCUUAACCUGGGAACUGCAUUCGAAACUGGCAGGCUAGAGUCUUGUAGAGGGGGUAGAAUUCCAGGUGUAGCGGUGAAAUGCGUAGAGAUCUGGAGGAAUACCGGUGGCGAAGGCGGCCCCCUGGACAAAGACUGACGCUCAGGUGCGAAAGCGUGGGGAGCAAACAGGAUUAGAUACCCUGGUAGUCCACGCCGUAAACGAUGUCGAUUUGGAGGUUGUGCCCUUGAGGCGUGGCUUCCGGAGCUAACGCGUUAAAUCGACCGCCUGGGGAGUACGGCCGCAAGGUUAAAACUCAAAUGAAUUGACGGGGGCCCGCACAAGCGGUGGAGCAUGUGGUUUAAUUCGAUGCAACGCGAAGAACCUUACCUGGUCUUGACAUCCACAGAACUUUCCAGAGAUGGAUUGGUGCCUUCGGGAACUGUGAGACAGGUGCUGCAUGGCUGUCGUCAGCUCGUGUUGUGAAAUGUUGGGUUAAGUCCCGCAACGAGCGCAACCCUUAUCCUUUGUUGCCAGCGGUCCGGCCGGGAACUCAAAGGAGACUGCCAGUGAUAAACUGGAGGAAGGUGGGGAUGACGUCAAGUCAUCAUGGCCCUUACGACCAGGGCUACACACGUGCUACAAUGGCAUAUACAAAGAGAAGCGACCUCGCGAGAGCAAGCGGACCUCAUAAAGUAUGUCGUAGUCCGGAUUGGAGUCUGCAACUCGACUCCAUGAAGUCGGAAUCGCUAGUAAUCGUAGAUCAGAAUGCUACGGUGAAUACGUUCCCGGGCCUUGUACACACCGCCCGUCACACCAUGGGAGUGGGUUGCAAAAGAAGUAGGUAGCUUAACCUUCGGGAGGGCGCUUACCACUUUGUGAUUCAUGACUGGGGUGAAGUCGUAACAAGGUAACCGUAGGGGAACCUGCGGUUGGAUCACCU